rnacentral:rRNA from 1 species
CCUAGCCUAUGGACGGGAAUAACCUCGGGAAACUGAGAAUAAUGCCCGAUAGAACAUUAUGCCUGGAAUGGUUUAUGUUCCAAAUGAUUUAUCGCCGUAGGAUGGGACUGCGGCCUAUCAGUUUGUUGGUGAGGUAAUGGCCCACCAAGACUAUUACAGGUACGGGCUCUGAGAGGAGUAGCCCGGAGAUGGGUACUGAGACACGGACCCAGGCCCUAUGGGGCGCAGCAGGCGAGAAAACUUUGCAAUGUGCGAAAGCACGACAAGGUUAAUCCGAGUGGUUUCUGCUAAAGAAACCUUUUGUCAGUCCUAGAAACACUGAUGAAUAAGGGGUGGGCAAGUUCUGGUGU